rnacentral:rRNA from 1 species
UAGCCUACGGGGGGCAGCAGUGAGGAAUAUUGGUCAAUGGGCGGGAGCCUGAACCAGCCAAGUCGCGUGAGGGACGACGGUCCUAUGGAUUGUAAACCUCUUUUGUCGGGGAACAAAGGCGCCCACGGGUGGGCGGAUGAGUGUACCCGAAGAAAAAGCAUCGGCUAACUCCGUGCCAGCAGCCGCGGUAAUACGUAGGGGGCAAGCGUUAUCCGGAAUUACUGGGUGUAAAGGGAGCGUAGACGGUUAAGUAAGUCUGGAGUGAAAGGCCGGGGCCCAACCCCGGGACUGCUCUGGAAACUAUU